rnacentral:rRNA from 1 species
GCACCGGCUAACUACGUGCCAGCAGCCGCGGUAAUACGUAGGGUGCAAGCGUUGUCCGGAAUUACUGGGCGUAAAGAGUUCGUAGGCGGUUUGUCGCGUCGUUUGUGAAAACCAGCAGCUCAACUGCUGGCUUGCAGGCGAUACGGGCAGACUUGAGUACUGCAGGGGAGACUGGAAUUCCUGGUGUAGCGGUGAAAUGCGCAGAUAUCAGGAGGAACACCGGUGGCGAAGGCGGGUCUCUGGGCAGUAACUGACGCUGAGGAACGAAAGCGUGGGUAGCGAACAGGAUUAGAUACCCUGGUAGUCCACGCCGUAAACGGUGGGCGCUAGGUGUGGGUUCCUUCCACGGAAUCCGUGCCGUAGCUAACGCAUUAAGCGCCCCGCCUGGGGAGUACGGCCGCAAGGCUAAAACUCAAAUGAAUUGACGG